rnacentral:rRNA from 1 species
GAUGAACGCUGGCGGCGUGCUUAACACAUGCAAGUCGAACGGUGAAGCAGGAGCUUGCUCUUGUGGAUCAGUGGCGAACGGGUGAGUAACACGUGAGCAACCUGCCCCUGACUCUGGGAUAAGCGCUGGAAACGGCGGCUAAUACUGGAUAUGUGACGUGACCGCAUGGUCUGCAUCUGGAAAGAAUUUCGGUUGGGGAUGGGCGCGCGGCCUAUAAGCUUGUUGUUGAGGUAAUGGCUCACCAAGGCGUCGACGGGUAGCCGGCCUGAGAGGGUGACCGGCCACACUGGGACUGAGACACGGCCCAGACUCCUACGGGAGGCAGCAGUGGGGAAUAUUGCACAAUGGGCGGAAGCCUGAUGCAGCAACGCCGCGUGAGGGAUGACGGCCUUCGGGUUGUAAACCUCUUUUAGCAGGGAAGAAGCGAAAGUGACGGUACCUGCAGAAAAAGCACCGGCUAACUACGUGCCAGCCGCCGCCGUAA